rnacentral:tRNA from 1 species
AGGUGCGUAGCUCAGUGGUAGAGCGGCGGUCUCCAAAACCGCUUACGGGGGUUCGAUUCCUCCCGCAUCUG